rnacentral:misc_RNA from 1 species
GUAGGUGAACCUGCGGAAGGAUCAUUAAAAAUUCUGAGUGUUCACGCAUUCUAAUUUCCACCCUGUGUAUCUGUUACCGUAAGCUUUCGCUGGGCUGUGGAGGUUGAGUCCUUGCGGCUCGCCUCCCCUUCUGACCGGGCAACAGCCCCCUCGGGAGAGUCCUGGCGGGAGCCAACCAAACAAACCCUUUUUCGUUACAUAUAGUCUGAAAAUGAUCUAAAAAAUCAAUUAAAACUUUCAACAAUGGAUC